CCCAAAGUACUGAAAUGAAUCCGUCACCUGUUCCAGCCGGCGGCGGUUCUCACCGCCGUUCCAUGAGGAAGCCGCCGGCGCCCGCCGAUCUCUGACCGUGGGAGGUCUUUUCGAGCACUUACGGCCUCCGGGCUCCGGCUGUCUACGACCUUGCCGUUGUCGAUCAGCACGCUCGACCAAACCACCGUCGCGGAGCACUUUCUGCCUCCCCCGACGCGGCCGGAGCGUUUCCAUCCCCCCGCCACAGCUGCCGGCAACAGCUUCAGCCUUGUCUAACAAGGAUGUCCAGUCGGAUGUUGGUCAAGUUUGGAGGUUGUUGACUACCUGUUUAACUAACUGUUGAUGCAUAAGCAUCAGCUCUAUGAACAAUUGAAGUUUUGACAAUGAAAUCGCAACCACCGAUGUAUUGUGGGCUGUUA